rnacentral:rRNA from 1 species
AACGAACGCUGGCGGCAGGCUUAACACAUGCAAGUCGAACGCCCCGCAAGGGGAGUGGCAGACGGGUGAGUAACGCAUGGGAACGUGCCCUUCGCUUCGGAAUAGCCCCGGGAAACUGGGAGUAAUACCGAAUACGCCGUAUUGGGAAAGAUUUAUCGGCGAAGGAUCGGCCCGCGUUAGAUUAGCUAGUUGGCGGUGUAAUGGACCACCAAGGCUACGAUCUAUAGCUGGUCUGAGAGGAAGAUCAGCCACACUGGGACUGAGACACGGCCCAGACUCCUACGGGAGGCAGCAGUGGGGAAUCUUGGACAAUGGGCGCAAGCCUGAUCCAGCCAUGCCGCGUGAGUGAAGAAGGCCUUAGGGUUGUAAAACUCUUUCGCCGGAGAAGAUAAUGACGGUAUCCGGAGAAGAAGCCCCGGCUAACUUCGUGCCAGCAGCCGCCGUAACAC